rnacentral:rRNA from 1 species
AUUGAACGCUGGCGGCAGGCCUAACACAUGCAAGUCGAACGAGUGGCGGACGGGUGAGUAAUGUCGGGGAAACUGCCUGAUGGAGGGGGAUAACUACUGGAAACGGUAGCUAAUACCGCAUACCAUCAGAUGUGCCCAGAUGGGAUUAGCUAGUUGGUGGGGUAACGGCUCACCAAGGCGACGAUCCCUAGCUGGUCUGAGAGGAUGACCAGCCACACUGGUACUGAGCGACGGUCCAGACUCCUACGGAAGUCAGCAGUGUGUGAUAUUGCACAAUGGGCGCGAGCCUGAUGCAGCCGUGCCGCGGAUAUGCAGAAGGCCUUCGAGUUGUAGAGUACGUUCAGCGGGGAGGCGUUACCCGCAGAAGGAGCACCGACUAACUCCGUGCCAGCAGCCGCGGUAAUAC